rnacentral:rRNA from 1 species
UACGUAGGGUCCGAGCGUUGUCCGGAAUUAUUGGGCGUAAAGGGCUCGUAGGCGGUUUGUCGCGUCGGGAGUGAAAACACGGGGCUUAACCCCGUGCCUGCUUCCGAUACGGGCAGACUAGAGGUAUGCAGGGGAGAACGGAAUUCCUGGUGUAGCGGUGAAAUGCGCAGAUAUCAGGAGGAACACCGGUGGCGAAGGCGGUUCUCUGGGCAUUACCUGACGCUGAGGAGCGAAAGUGUGGGGAGCGAACAUG